rnacentral:lncRNA from 1 species
GAGUUGGUAAAGCACAGUAGGGAAAAGGCUUACCCAAAUGGUAAAAGAAAGGGGUUGGAGAAUAUUUCUUUUGAGCUAAUUAAGAUCAGUCCACGGGCACUGAAGUGGGUUUAAAGCAUUAACACUUAUCCUGGAAGACUUGAUUUCCUUCCAGUAUUCACAUGUCUGCAUUCCCUUGGAUAUUUCAUGAAGCAACAAGGAUCCACAGCUACAAAACACUCCUGCCUGAGUUGUGUUAUAACUUAUAUUACAUAACUGGGACACAUCUAAUCUUCCUCACCCUAAUCCUUCCUUUUAAGGACAGAAAGCUUAAUCUGUUUAAAAAUUACAUGAUAUGUAAGAGAGAAGGUAAAAUACCACUUAGAUAAGGGAACACACAAUUUGGUCAUCUGGUUGCUGUGAUUAAACCUAGAGUAGUUAUCACCAUUAAUAUCUCUAGAUUUUAAAGAGUAUUUCUCUUAAAAAUAAUCAGCCACCCUAACGUCCAUUGCCAGUUUCCCUGCUCUGAAAUUCUGUGCUCAGCAUUUUUGCAGUAAAAGCAAUCCCUGCUUCUCGCGUCGUGCCGGGGCGGGGGUGGAGGGGUGUUGACAAUCACAACUCUCGUUCAGUGGUCUCAAAUUAAAGCUUCUCGGAAUAACCGAGGGACAGCUUGACCCUUUGAGAUACUCACCGACCACCCUCCAGGGAAAUAGUACUGUUUCCUUCCUGGGAACAAGAUGCUAGUGCCGUGC